rnacentral:rRNA from 1 species
UGAGUAACGCGUGAGAAUAUGCGUUCAGGGUUGACAACCACUGGAACGGUGGUUAAUACAGGAUGUGCCCGAGAUGAAAGAUUUAUCGCCUGAAGAUGAGCUCGCGUUGAUUAGCUAGUUGGUGAGGUAAAAGCUCACCAAGGCGACGAUCAGUAGCUGGGUGAGAGGAUGACCAGCCACACAGGAAAGAGACACGGUCCAGACUCCUACGGGAGGCAGCAGU